GAUGAACGCUAGCGGCAGGCCUAAUACAUGCAAGUCGAACGGUAACAUGAGUAGCAAUACUUGAUGACGAGUGGCGCACGGGUGCGUAACGCGUAUGCAAUCUACCUUUAACCGGUGAAUAGCCCGAAGAAAUUCGGAUUAAUACACCAUAGUAUGAUGAGGAGGCAUCUCCUUAUCAUUAAAGUUCCGACAGUUAAAGAUGAGCAUGUGUGACAUUAGCUAGUUGGUGAGGUAACGGCUCACCAAGGCCACGAUGUCUAGGGGAUCUGAGAGGAUUAACCCCCACACUGGUACUGAGACAGGGACCAGACUCCUACGGGAGGCAGCAGUAAGGAAUAUUGGACAAUGGUGGCAAGCCUGAUCCAGCAAUGCCGCGUGCAGGACGAAGGCCUUGGGUUGUAACUGCUUUGUACGGAACGAAAGCCUUCUUCUAAUACAGGAGGGUCAUGACGGUACCGUAAGAAUAAGCACCGGCUAACUACGUACG
rnacentral:rRNA from 1 species